AAUCAACUGAAGAUAAGAAGAAAUUAAGAAGAUUCUACAUGAACAUCCAUUCAUCUACAUUUUUUACAUUGGCUAGCCUGCCAGUCUUCUAUUCAAGUUUUGUUCCCACUUCAAGGGGGGAGAGAGAAGAAUCGAGUUACAAAGCUAUUUUGGAACUGGGAAAACAAACUUGAAGAGAAAAAAAGAAUCUAGACUGACUGUCACAGAAGAACUGUGGUUUGUAAGAAAAAGAAAGUUUUCAAAUCACAAAGACUGUACAAGACUAUUUUCUACAACUGAGAGAAAAAGCAC